rnacentral:rRNA from 1 species
AACGAACGCUGGCGGCAUGCCUAACACAUGCAAGUCGAACGAGACCUUCGGGUCUAGUGGCGCACGGGUGCGUAACGCGUGGGAACCUGCCCUUAGGUUCGGAAUAACUCCCCGAAAGGGGUGCUAAUACCGGAUAAUGUCUUCGGACCAAAGAUUUAUCGCCUUUGGAUGGGCCCGCGUUGGAUUAGCUAGUUGGUAGGGUAAAAGCCUACCAAGGCGACGAUCCAUAGCUGGUCUGAGAGGAUGAUCAGCCACACUGGGACUGAGACACGGCCCAGACUCCUACGGGAGGCAGCAGUGGGGAAUAUUGGACAAUGGGCGAAAGCCUGACCCAGCAAUGCCGCGUGAGUGAUGAAGGCCUUAGGGUUGUAAAGCUCUUUUACCCGGGAUGGUAAUGACAGUACCGGGAGAAUAAGCUCCGGCUAACUCCGUG